GCUGUGAGUGAACCGUAUGAACC
rnacentral:siRNA from 1 species